rnacentral:tRNA from 1 species
GCCGCUGUAGCUCAGAUGGUAGAGCACAUCAUUCGUAAUGAUGGGGUCGGGGGUUCGAGUCCCUUCAGCGGCA